AUCAAAAAGCACACCUUGCAUGUCAUUAUAGGCUUCAUACUGGAGAGAAACCUUACAAGUGUAAUGAGUGUGGCAAGACCUUCAGUCAGAAGUCAUCCCUUGUGGGCCAUCGUAGACUUCAUACCGGAGAAAAACCUUACAACUGUCAUGAGUGUGGCAAGACCUUUGCUCGAAAUUCAUCCCUUCUAAUUCAUAAGGCAAUUCAUACUGGAGAGAAACCUUACAAGUGUAAUGAAUGUGGCAAGGUUUUUAAUCAACAAUCAAACCUUGCACAACAUCAGAGAGUUCAUACUGGAGAGAAACCUUACAGGUGUAAUGAGUGUGGCAAGACCUUCAGUCAUAUGUCAUCCUUUGUAUACCAUUAUAGACUUCAUACUGGAGAGAAACCUUACAAGUGCAAUGAGUGUGGCAAGACCUUCAGUCAUAUGUCAUCCUUUGUAUGCCAUCAUAGACUUCAUACUGGAGAAAAUCCUUAUAAGUGCAAUGAGUGUGGCAAAGCCUUUAGUGGGCAGUCAUCACUUAUUCAUCAUCAAGCAAUCCAUGGUAUAGGGAAACUUUACAAAUGUAAUGAUUCUCACAAAGUCCUCAGUAAUGCUACAAGCAUUGCAAAUCAUUAGAGAAUCCAUAAUGAAGAGAGAUCUUACAAGCGUAGUAAAUGUGGCAGAUAUUUCAGACAUUGUUCAUAGCUUGCAGUUCAUCAGUGAACUCAUACUGGAAAGAAACGUUACAAAUGUCAUGAUUGCAGCAAGGUCUUCAGUCAAGCUUCAUUUUAUGCAAAACACAGGAGAAUUCAUAUGGGAGAGAACCUCACAACUGUGACAAUUGUGGCAGUCAUUUUUUUUUUUCUUUUUUCAGAUGAAGUCUUACUCUUUUGUCCAGGCUGGGGUGCAGUGGCGUGAUCUCGGCUCACGGCAACCUCCACCUCCCAGGUUCAUACGAUUCUCCUUCCUAGCCUCCUGAGUAGCUGGGACUACAAGCAUGCUCCACCAAGCCUGGCUAAUUUUUAUGUUUUUAGUAGAGACAGGGUUUCACCAUGUUGGCCUGGUUGCUCUCAACUCUUGAUCUUGUGAUCCGCCUGCCUCGGCCUCCCAAAGUGCUGGUAUUACAGGCAUGAGCCACCACGCCCAGUGUGGCAAUGUCUUUACUUUACAUUCACACCGCAUUAGACAUCAGGGAAUCUAUACUGGACAGAAAUCUUACAAAUGGAAUAGGUGUGGCAAUGUCUUUAGUCUGAGGUCACUCCUUGCAGAACAGUAGAAAAUUCAUUUUUGAGAUAAUUGUCCCAAAUACAAUUACUAUAGAAAAUGACAAACUUUAAUUGACAUUAGAGUCAAUUCCGCAUUGACUAGAGUUUGAGUUGACUUAACAUUGAGUUCAAGCAUUAAUUGACAUAAAAAGUGUUUACGUUAAGAAGAAUGGGCAGGGUGUAGUUGCUCACACCUAUAAUCCCAGCACUUUGGGAGGCCAAGGCAGACAGAUCACUUGAGGUCAGCAGUUUGAGACCAGCUGGGCCAACAGACCUGAACCAGUUUGCCCAGCCUGUUUUUUCUUUCCUUCUUUCUUUCUUUUCUUUUCUUUUUUUUUUUUUUUUUUUUUUUUUUUGAGACAGAGUCUUUCUCUUGUCGCCCAAGCUGGCGUGCAAUGGCACAAUCUUGGUUCACUGCAACCUCCACCUCCUGCAUUCAAGCAAUUCUCUUUUCUAAGCCUCCCAAGUAGCUGGGAUUUCAGAUGUGUGCCACCACACCACAUAGUCCCUCUCCACAGAGAUGGUUGAGAAGGCUGAUGGAAAAGCCAGAUACUUGUUCUACAGGUUUCCCUGACACUAGUAUAUCAUCCACAUACUGGAGCAUAGAUAUACACUUUGGGAUGCUCAUCUUUUCUAACACCUCCUCAAGAAUUUGGCCAAACAAGUUAGGAGAAUCUGUAAAUCCUUGGGGUAAGACUGUCCGGCAGUAUUGUUGUUUUCACCCAGAGUGAGAAUCUUCCCAUUCAAAAGUGAAUAUAUCCUGACUAUCUUCAGCUAAAGGACAUGCCCAGAAGGCAUCUUUCAGGUCUAUUUCUGUAAACCACUGAUGGUCAUAUGGAAUUUUGCUGAGAAUAGUAUAUGGAUUGGGAACAACAGGAUGAGUGGUUUGAACAGUUUGAUUAAUGGCUUGAAGAUCUUCUACAAGCCAGUAUCACCAAUCUGACUACUUUACAAGUAAUAUUGGAGUAGUAUAGGGAGACAUGCACAGUUCAAGUAGCCCAUCUCAGAUAAGGCUCUCAAUUAGAGGUUUUAAACCUAAUCUACCUUCUAAGGGAAUUGGAUAUUGGUUUCUUUUCACUGUUUCCCUGGGAGUUUUUAACUUUAUGUGAAUUGGAGGAACUUGUAGCUUCCUUCAAUUUCCCUCCCUUGACCACUCAUUAGCAUUGAUGUAGCUUUCUUCUGCUGUAGUAAACAGGUUUAAUGAAGUGAAGAAUCCUUCUGGGCUUACAUGCAAGCCUAUACCUAACUUUGCCAUUAGGCCACUUCCUAACAAGUUUGUCCCAGCCUUAGGAAGUAGCAAAAAUUUAACAUUGGUUGAUCGGGUUUCAAAUCUGACUUCUGUUUUUUCUGAGACUUUGGCUUUAAAUCCUUGCCCUUUGACUCCUAAAACUUGAAGUUCUUCUAAUAAACAAUUUAUAUUAGAGGGCACAAAACAAACAGAGGAGUGGGAAGCUCCUGAGUCUAUUAGAAAAGUAAUAAGUUCGGCUGGGUGCCAUGGCUUACACCUGUAAUCCCAGCACUUUGGGAGGCCGAGGUGGGCGGAUCACCUGAGGUCGAGAGUUCGAGACCAGCCUGACCCACAUGGAGAAACCCCAUCUCUACU
rnacentral:sRNA from 1 species